UAGUGGCAUGUCCUGGACCCGAAGCGGGGUGAUCUACCCAUGGCCAGUGUGAAGCAGCUGUAAGAGGUUGUGGAGGCGCGAACCCACUUAGGUUGAAAACUGAGGGGAUGAGUUGUGGGUAGGGGUGAAAGGCCAAUCAAACUCCGUGAUAGCUGGUUCUCCCCGAAAUGCAUUUAGGUGCAGCGUGAUGUGAGCUUGCCGGAGGUAGAGCUACUGGUUGGUUGAGCGGGACUAUCAUCUUAGCGACGUCAGCCAAACUCCGAAUGCCGGUUUGAAGUGUUGCAUUGCAGUGAGACUGUGGGGGAUAAGCUUCAUAGUCGAGAGGGAAACAGCCCAGAUCGCCGGUUAAGGCCCCUAAGGGUGUGCUAAGUGGAAAAGGAUGUGGGAUCGCGAAGACAGCCAGGAGGUUGGCUUAGAAGCAGCCAUCCUUGAAAGAGUGCGUAAUAGCUCACUGGUCGAGUGGUUCUGCGCCGACAAUUCAGUGGGGCUCAAGCACACCGCCGAAGCCGCGGCAACACUUGUUUGUGUUGGGUAGGGGAGCGUCGUGUGUGGGGUGAAGCCGUAUCGUAAGGAGCGGUGGACUGCAUGCGAGUGAGAAUGCAGGCAUGAGUAACGAAUGGCAAGUGAGAAUCUUGCCCGCCGGAUGACUAAGGGUUCCUGGGUCAAGUUCGUCUUCCCAGGGUGAGUCGGGUCCUAAGGCGAGGCCGACAGGCGUAGUCGAUGGUCAACGGGUUGAUAUUCCCGUACCCGUGUGUGCGCGACAAAUUGCGAAGCGGUGAUACUAACCACCCUGACCCGCCGGCCA
rnacentral:rRNA from 1 species